CUUUUCAGGAGCUGACUGUGUGCUGGUACCACAUUGAUCGUUCUACUUAGUCAAAGGCAUAACAGGAUGAGGAGACACUGACUCCAGCCCCAGGGAAUUUACAACUACAGGUUGAAUUUGCCACUAAAGGUUGAAUUUGCCACUUCAAGAUUCAACGCGCACAACUGUUCACGACUGGAGGACCAAUGCUUAUUUUGUCCUUUACUGAGUGAUGUCUCAACAUCAACCUUUCCCGAAAUGUCUGAUGUAGGUUGUGAAAAGCUCGCCGCGUGUCAGGCAAGGUGGCCUGUGAAAAUAACCAGGAAGAUGUAGCAAAUAGACUGUCUGCUGCAAUUUACAAGGAUGCAAUUAAGGAGAUUAUAGAACCUGCCCAAGAUCACACACACGCACAGUAAGUUAGGAUGCUGACAAGACGGUCUGAGAGUAGCGCUUUAUGCUCCAAGUUGAGAUAUUACACAGUCUCUCUGGCGACCCAUUUCUGUGUUUCCAUCUUUAAUAUUAUACCCAUUUCUUUAUUCCAAAUUUUAACUCAUAUAAAUUCUUUACAUCGUAUGUACUGAGGAUGACUAUACACAAAAUCUAAAAUACACACUAAACAUUCACAUGCGACACGUAAAUGCAUAAUUCAAUUAAAGACAAAUCUGGCAAACUU